rnacentral:rRNA from 1 species
AUUGAACGCUGGCGGCAUGCUUUACACAUGCAAGUCGAACGGUAACAGGCCUUCGGGUGCUGACGAGUGGCGAACGGGUGAGUAAUGCAUCGGAACGUGCCCAGAGGUGGGGGAUAACGCAGCGAAAGCUGUGCUAAUACCGCAUGUGAUCUGAGGAUGAAAGCGGGGGACCAGGCAGCAAUGUUUGGCCUCGCGCCUUUGGAGCGGCCGAUGUCAGAUUAGGUAGUUGGUGGGGUAAAGGCCUACCAAGCCGACGAUCUGUAGCUGGUCUGAGGGGACGGCCGCCCCACGUGGAACUGGGACACGGCCAGACCCCCCAGGGAGGGCAGCGGGGGGAAAUUUUGAACAAGGGGCGAAACCCUAACCAGGAAAGCCGGGGGGGGGGAAGAAGGCCUUGGGGUUGAAAACCGUUUUUGUAGGGAACAAAAGGGCUCUGGGUAAUACCUGGGGUUGAUACCGGUACCAAAAAAAAAAGCACCGCCUAACUACUG